CUCUCAUUCUGCCAGCAGAGUGACUGCAACAGCACCAAAGCCACUACAGUACACCGUCAUUGUAAAACAGAUAGGUUAAAUGUGACAACAUCCUCUGAAAACCUCAAAGAAACAAACCAAUAAGCAACAGGCACACGGCCCGAGACCCCUACAGCAUCUCAAUAUUCACUUCCUGCGUGGAAACUAUUUCAGUUCUGUGUGUAGGCACUCUGGUCAGGUUUAAUCUAACCAGUGUGUAAGUUGUACAGGCUGCCGGUUAUAAAUACUGACAUUCUUACAGUUUUAUUUUUGGAACGCAGAACAAGAUAACAAGACUGAAGAGCUGUAGAUUGUCACUAUUGGUGGGAUGGAAGACUUUUGUAGACACUUGGGCAUCAAUGGGACCUUGACUCUGAUAUGUUGUAUCUUCUGUAUCUUCUUGCCAGAAGGUAAAGCAGCUUGGGAAACCAUUUCAGAGAAUGUUGGCAGCAGAGUAACCCUGCAAUGUAGCAACGAGUCAAUCAGCACGCUCAACCAGUUGACGUGGAAGAUGAAUGGAGUUACCAUGUUCACUUUCAACCCUCUGGGAAACUUCUACGUCAGUCCACAAGCUACCAACCUGACCUUGAAAAUGUCUGAAUCACAGAGUCAGCUGUAUGCGCUCAUCAUAGAGAACGCUCAGCUCUAUCACACGGGAAACUACACUUGUGAAGUUACUUCCAUGAAGGACGGAGUCUUGGAUCAGAACUGGAGGCUGAUAAUUAAAGAAAGCACAGAAAUCUGGGACAUUCUGAUGAUAGCUACUGUUUCUUCUGUGUGUCUCCUGAUCUUUUUAAUUGGUUUGGUCAUUCUAAUAAGAUGCAACAAACGGCAUACAAGAAAUAGCAGGCCGUCUACCUCAGCAGAAGCGCAGCAGCCAACAGAAGAUAUUUAUGAAAACUGCCUGGAAAUUGAACGAUAUAAUCGAAGGCAUAGUCAGCCUAACAAACCUUUACCUAUCCAACACCGUGUGUAGCACACAUUAUAGAAGAAAACUGGUACUUUUGUAAUGCCAUCAGCUGCUAUUUCAAAUAAUGUACUGUAUGCAAUCAAGAGCAAAAUCUUUUAAAGCUGUUACAGUAAAUUUAUUCAGUUUGUGAGGUGAAACUACUGAGGGAAAUGUGUGACUCUUUGUCUGUCGUUUGAGUUAUAUUUAUACAACAUGAUAUCAUAAAAGAUGUCAUUGGUGAACUGUAAAUAGUAAGAUCAAAUCCUAAAAAUAUUAUAGUGAGAAACUCAGUUUUUCCUUUGAAGCAAGCGUUUGGUGACAGUGGGGAAGAAAAAUUCCCCUUUAACAAGAAGUAACCUGAGACAAAACCGCUGUCUACUGCUCUAAUGCUGUGCAGGUAUUUUGAGAUUGGGUAACAAGGGCAGAACCUUAAAAUAAGAGCUUUGAGAUGAUAGAUGCUCUGCAGAGAUAGGUGAUAAUCCUCUGUAGGAGGUUUUUUGAUCCAUUCUUAAAGAUGCACAUCUGAACAUGCAUGAAAGUGCUGUACUUUGAAUCAUUUCUGGUCUUAUACUUCCAUAAGAAAACUCUAGUCUGGACCAAAAUUUGUACAAUAAUACCCACCCCUCCUCUAUCACUGAAAAAUGCAGAAUCUAUAAAACUACAAAUAUGUUUCAUUUCAAGAGUUUAAGUAUUAGAUACAUCUCUGAAAGUCUAUACUUCUUGUUUGUGCAAUGCAGGCUUCACACAUGUAUCAGCUGCUUCCCAGUACUUGUCUAAAACUUUCAAAUUCCAGCAGAUUAAUUAUAAACUGUCAAGUUGUAGCAAUGACAAAAAAGUUUUUUUGAGGGGAAGUGGAUUUUUUUGGACUUUUUUCAUGGAUUAAUGCAGCUCUGAAGGCUUGAGAAGGAACACAGAGCAACUAUCAGAAGAGUUUUAACGACAAAACCUGACAGAGAACGCAGCAUUUAAACAGACACUUCAUGGGUGCAUAGAGCAUUUACCAUGUAUUUGUGGUUGUAAGUGUGAAAUGGCAAGGCUAAAAAUAAACCAUAAUCUACCCAAGAAGAUCACAGCUUUUCUCACUGAGUCUGUCACAACAUCUGGGGGCUUUUAACUUGGUGCUUGGCAACCUGUCCACUGGUAGCUGACAGUGAAAUGCAUUUCCUAAUUAUUUUUUUAAUCUCAGUGGCAUAUACUGAAAACAUAAAUAAAACAGAUUUAUAUUUUAAUUAGAUUAAACUAUGAAAUGUUA
ensembl:lncRNA